rnacentral:sRNA from 1 species
UUAAAUCAGAAGUCUUGAUCUGAAGAUAUUAUCUGAUGACAAGGGUCUUCUACAUUUUACAGGCAAUGGACUUAAUUGCAUAUGUAUUGAGAUAGCUAAGGAUAAACAAAUACAAACCAUCAUGAUUCUUCAAAGAGAUAUAGUUUGAACAUCACUGAAGUCAUAGACUGGUCCUCAAGUCUACACAAUCAGGAGCUGAUUGGAACAAUCUGGAUAGAACAAAUAUAUUCAAGUGUUCAUGUCCAUUUCAAAUUCUUCUUGAUGUAUCUACAUCCUGUAUUGUUGGUCAAGCCACAAUGAUCAUUUAGCAAGCUUAUUCAAGGUCUGUGCUAUGACUCAAGCAGGUGAUGUCAACUACUUUGUCACUAUGUAGGUCUGUGCUAUGACUCAAGCAGGUGAUGUCAACUACUUUGUCACUAUGUAGGUCUGUACUAUGACUCAAACAGGUGAUGUCAACAGUUCUAUGUCAUUCUUUAGGUCUGUGACACAAACAGUUGAUAUCAGCUCUUCUAUAGCCUGACACUAGGUAACAUAAAUCUGUGUUCAAAUAAAUCCAAUUUAAUAAAACAAGAGAUAUCAAACAUUUCAUGACAUAUAGGAUAUAUAGUUAGUGUCCUGAGUAUGACGUUAAACUGCUC